AAUAGGUUAUUAUUAUUUCGGAGGCUUGCAAACAGCUCUGAGUUUACUGAGCUACGUUUUGAGGAGCAACGCACUGCAGGGUAACAGGCUAAUUGUCCCUGCAGACCAUGAGCGGUGUUGGAGAUUGUACCUCCUCCCUCCUCCCUCUACUGAUGCUGAGCAGAUCUGAGUGGCUGUUCAGUCGUAAAAACGAUGAGAGGGAGAUGGAGUUCCCCUGGCAGCGUCUCCCAGUGAUGAAUGGGUGCCAAGGGAAAACAAACGUCACGUUUUAUUGGCAAAAUAAACAGGAAUG